CUAGCCCACCGUGAUGGGCCAGCUUUUAGCCAGUUGAACUUCGGUAGGCCAUCGGCCUAGGCCUGGAGGGCUAAGCACUGGUGAACGCCAGCUUCCGAGGCACUGAGUGCAAUGCGGAGCUGAUCGAAUCCGUUGGAGAGGCUCAGCUGGAGCACUUUUCGGAGGAUGCUAGUAUACUGGGUCGAGCCGUACGAGAUAGACGCUACUCGUUCAGCAGCCCGGUAUCCGUAGGUCAGCGUGUCGAUUCUGCGUAAGCGUGCGCAGCGGUUGUGCUAGCCGAUGUGAAUCCCGAGCUACCUCGGGAGUGCAUUGUGACUGCUCGCUAGAGUUUGUCAGAGGGGGGUAGAAUUACCGUGUAGCAGUGCAAAUGCGUAGAGAUGUGGAGGAAUACCGAUGGCGAAGGCAGCCUCCUGGGAUACACUGACGCUCAUGCACGAAAGCGUGGGAGCAAACAGGAUUAGAUACCCUGGUAGUCCACGCCCUAUACGAUGUCAACUAGUUGUUGGGGAUUCAUUUCCUUAGUAACGUAGCUAACGCGUGAAGUUGACCGCCUGGGGAGUACGGUCGCAAGAUUAAAACUCAAAGGAAUUGACGGGGACCCGCACAAGCGGUGGAUGAUGUGGAUUAAUUCGAUGCAACGCGAAAAACCUUACCUACCCUUGACAUGCCACUAACGAAGCAGAGAUGCAUUAGGUGCUCGAAAGAGAAAGUGGACACAGGUGCUGCAUGGCUGUCGUCAGCUCGUGUCGUGAGAUGUUGGGUUAAGUCCCGCAACGAGCGCAACCCUUGUCUCUAGUUGCUACGAAAGGGCACUCUAGAGAGACUGCCGGUGACAAACCGGAGGAAGGUGGGGAUGACGUCAAGUCCUCAUGGCCCUUAUGGGUAGGGCUUCACACGUCAUACAAUGGUGCAUACAGAGGGUUGCCAAGCCGCGAGGUGGAGCUAAUCCCAGAAAAUGCAUCGUAGUCCGGAUCGUAGUCUGCAACUCGACUACGUGAAGCUGGAAUCGCUAGUAAUCGCGGAUCAGCAUGCCUCGGUAAUCGGCU
rnacentral:rRNA from 1 species